rnacentral:lncRNA from 1 species
GUGUGUUCGCUGCUUUGAAGGGCAUCCAAACCGCUCUUACCCUUGUGGAGUUGCUUUUAGUCCUUGUGGAAAGCUCAUGGCUUGUGGUGCAGAGGACAGACAUGUGUUUGAACAGCUGGUCCUUAAUUGAUGGCACUGUUUGGGAAGGUUUAUGGGACCUCAGCAAAUGCGGCCUUGCCAGCAUGCAACUGGAGCAAGCUUGCAAAGCCUACAGCCUCAGCCCACCUCAGAGCCUCCCUCUAAUUCCUAUGUGUGGGCGAAAAUGUAACCAGCCAGUUCUUGUUUGUCACCUGCUACUGCGCCUUCCCUACCGUGUGGCCUGCUUACGUGUAUGAAAUGGGCUCGAGCAGCUUUUUGUACCGUCUUGCGGGACACACAGAUACAGUUACUGAAGUGGCCUUCAACCCGGCAGCUUCUCAGUUGUAUCUGAAGUGCAUAGUGCUGGUCCUGUGCUGUUCUGGUCCGUACUAGCUUCCCAUACAUUCACAGUCCAUGUACUCUUCACAGCUUAUCACAGCCACCUUAGAUGGGAAACUUCAGCUAUUUGUGGCUGAGUGACAGCUGACCUGCUGGUAAGAAUACAAGAAGAAAGGAGAGAAAGAAUCCAUGGCUUAGCUAUUUGAAGUGGACGGGCAGUUUCCAUAGGAGACCCUUGCUGGAUUCCUCUUCUGUAGGACUGACCCCCAUGUGAGAGUCCCUCCUCUUAAGAAAACCUUCAUGGGAAUCCUGGAAAUGAUGUUCUUCAAUAAAGAUGAGCCAGUGCCUC